GUGAAUUACAACUCCUUUGGGGAAAAAAAACCAAUCACUGAGAUUAAAAUUUUGUUAUGUGUGCCACUAACUGCGGGUGGAAGGUAAAGAUUAGGGUGUUAAGAAAACUGACAAUACAAUCUGCAUCUUAAAUCAAUUUACUUUUGGAUUCUUUUGGAUCAAUUCAACAACUGUUUUAUUAUCACUUAUUCUCUCUGUACUGUCUAAUAUGUAAAAAAAAAGACAAUAUUUAUUUGUGGCUUGAGGUAAUUAAAAACAAAAUGAACAUAUGUUUGUAACGAUGAAUAUUAGAGAAAAGGAAUGGCUUUGUAAAUAGCAUUAUACUAAUAUAGUAUUAAUACUAAAAACUUUAUUUAUGGAGCACUUAUCAAAACAAAGUAAAAAGUGCUUCACAAAGAGAAAUAAAAUACCACAGUGAAUUACAAAAUAUAUUUAUAUAUAUUUUUAAAACAAUAAAAUAAACAGACAGCUGUCAUAGUUAGCCACAUCUCUCUCCUGACCCUUGUGUGCUCUAGUGUGCUCCCCUUUUCCCUGUGUUCCUUGUCUGUCCUCUGUUCGUCGCCGUGUGUGUGUUUACUGGUCUGGCUCCCUGGUCCUUCCUCCUGCUGCUGAUCACUGGCACACCUGACGUCCAUCAUCCAAUGAGUCUCCACAGUAUAUCUACCAGGCUCUACCACACUACCAGCACCAGAUCGUCUCUGUACACUUAGCUUAUUCCCUGCCGGUGAUCACAGCCCCUCCGAUCUCUGCAAGGCUGCCUGCCUGUUCUGUCUGCCACGCUACACGAGUCACCUGCCUCUCCUGUCCCACUUGUUUCACCAGGCGAGUCAGCUUUCCCUCCUGUCCGACCUGCCUCACCACACGGAUCAGCUGCCUUGCCGGUUCUGCUAAUCACGCUACACAAGCCAAGCCAGAACCUACACUCCCCGUCUCUGUCCCCGGAGCCUCGCUGGCUACAAUGGACUACACCAGAGUCGCCGCUCUGGAAGAGCUCAGAUCCACCAGUGAUUGCUUGCAGUAUAUAAUAAAGACUGUUGCUACCACAA